AACGCGAAAGUCCCGCAAGGGGCAAGUAGAGUGGCAAACGGGUGAGUAACACGUGGGUGACCUGCCUUCGAGUGGGGGAUAACGUCCCGAAAGGGACGCUAAUACCGCAUGACAUCCUGCGUUUGGAAACGCGGAGAUCAAAGCCGGGGAUCGCAAGACCUGGCGCUUGAAGAGGGGCCCGCGCCUGAUUAGCUAGUUGGUGGGGUAACGGCCUACCAAGGCAACGAUCAGUAUCCGGCCUGAGAGGGCGGACGGACACACUGGGACUGAGACACGGCCCAGACUCCUACGGGAGGCAGCAGUGGGGAAUUGUUCGCAAUGGGCGCAAGCCUGACGACGCAACGCCGCGUGGAGGACGAAGAUCUUCGGGUCGUAAACUCCUGUCGAGCGGGAAGAACGCUUCCCGGGUGAAUAAUCCGGGGAAUUGACGGUACCGCUAAAGGAAGCCCCGGCUAACUCCGUGCCAGCAGCCGCGGUAAUACGGGGGGGGCAAGCGUUGUUCGGAAUUACUGGGCGUAAAGGGCUCGUAGGCGGCCAACUAAGUCGGAUGUGAAAUCCCCAGGCUUAACCUGGGAACUGCAUCCGAUACUGGAUGGCUUGAAUCCGGGAGAGGGAUGCAGAAUUCCAGGUGUAGCGGUGAAAUGCGUAGAUAUCUGGAGGAAUACCGGUGGCGAAGGCGGCAUCCUGGACCGGCAUUGACGCUGAUGAGCGAAAGCUAGGGAACCAAACGGGAUUAGAUACCCCGGUAGUCCUAGCCCUUAAACGAUGAAUGCUUGGUGUGGCGGGUAUCGAUCCCUGCCGUGCCGAAGCUAACGCAUUAAGCAUUCCGCC
rnacentral:rRNA from 1 species